rnacentral:rRNA from 1 species
UUUUAUGGAGAGUUUGAUCCUGGCUCAGGAUGAACGCUGGCGGCGUGCCUAAUACAUGCAAGUCGAGCGAACGGACGAGAAGCUUGCUUCUCUGAUGUUAGCGGCGGACGGGUGAGUAACACGUGGAUAACCUACCUAUAAGACUGGGAUAACUUCGGGAAACCGGAGCUAAUACCGGAUAAUAUUUUGAACCGCAUGGUUCAAAAGUGAAAGACGGUCUUGCUGUCACUUAUAGAUGGAUCCGCGCUGCAUUAGCUAGUUGGUAAGGUAACGGCUUACCAAGGCAACGAUGCAUAGCCGACCUGAGAGGGUGAUCGGCCACACUGGAACUGAGACACGCUCCCCAACCUCUACGGAAAGUACCAGUUGGGACCUUUCCGCCAUGGCCGUAAGC